rnacentral:tRNA from 1 species
GGGCCGUUGGUCUAGAGGUAUGAUUCUCCCUUCGGGUGGGAGAGGUCGCGGGUUCGAUUCCCGCACGGCCCC